GAUGAACGCUGGCGGCGUGCUUAACACAUGCAAGUCGAGCGAGUGAGUUUUUCGGAACGAUCUAGCGGCGGACGGGUGAGUAACACGUGGGCAACCUGCCUCAUAGAGGGGAAUAGCCUCCCGAAAGGGAGAUUAAUACCGCAUAAAAUUAUCGAGUGGCAUCACACGAUAAUCAAAGGAGUAAUCCGCUAUGAGAUGGGCCCGCGGCGCAUUAGCUAGUUGGUGAGGUAACGGCUCACCAAGGCGACGAUGCGUAGCCGAACUGAGAGGGUGAUCGGCCACAUUGGGACUGAGACACGGCCCAGACUCCUACGGGAGGCGGCAGUGGGGAAUAUUGCACAAUGGGGGAAACCCUGAUGCAGCAGCGCCGCGUGAGUGAUGAAGGUCUUCGGAUUGUAAAGCUCUGUCUUUGGGGACGAUAAUGACGGUACCCAAGGAGGAAGCCACGGCUAACUACGUGCCAGCAGCCGCCGUAA
rnacentral:rRNA from 1 species